AUGAAUUAUCGAUUGGGGCCGGGGAGGAGGAAGGAAUGGGGUCGGUCGGGAGAGAGGACGUGGUGCGGGCCGGGCUGGAGGGAGCUCGUUAGGGGCAGGGGACGGGCCUGCUCAUUCUUUUGUAUUGCACUCUUCUCCCAUGCGCUUAGCACAGUGCUGUGCACCUCGAAAGAGUGCAGUAAAUGGGAAUUAUCGAUCGGGGAGGCGGGCGGGAUGGGGUGGGGAGGAGGGUGGGGAGGAGGCUCAUUAAGGGCAGGGGACGGGCCUGCUCGUUCUGUUGUACUGCACUCUCCCAUGCGUUUAGCACAGUGCUGUGCACAUCGAAAGGGCGCAGUAAAUAGGAAUUAUCGAUCGGGGCCGGGGAGGAGGGCGGGCUGGGGCUGGGGCCGGCGUGGAGGAGGCUCGUUAAGGGCAGGGGACGGGCCUGCUCGUUCUGUUGUAGUGGCCUCGCCCGGGCGCUCGGCCCAGCGCUGUGCACAUGGAGAGCGCUUAGUAAAUACGCAUGACGGAUGGGGGGUCGGGCGUGCAGCAAGCCGGUUAAGGGCCGAGGCCGGGCCCGCUCAUUCGGUUGGAAGGGGCUGCCCCGCGCGCUCGGCGCAUGGGAAGGGCGCGGUAAAAAGGACCGUACGUCCGGAGCGGGCCGGGCCUCCUGCCUUCUCACACAAUGGCCGAGGCGUGCGGGCCGCCCGGGCCCUACCUGCUCCAGGAGGCUGCUGGCCGACAUGGCGGCGGCGGCGGCGGCGGCAGGGCGGGGAGAGCGGGGGCGGCGACCGGUCCGUCCGGGCGGGGGCGGCGGCGGCGGGGGCGGGGGCGGCGGCGGCGGCUCGGGCUUUGUCCCCGACGCUGGCAGGGCCUCGGCGGACGCGGCGGAGACUGGGCGCGCGGCUCCGGCUCCCCCUCGGCGACGCUCUAGGCCCCCGCUCUCAACGUUCGUCUCUAUGCUCCGCUGGCGCGCGCCGCCGGGCCGAGGGUUGGCGCGCGCCCCGCCCGCGCGCUCUCACCCCCCCACGCGGAAGGGCCCGUGCGGGGCACGCCGGGAAGGAGGGCUCGGCGCCGCAGCGCCCUCGGGCGGCCAGGAGGGGCCCCCGCCUCGCCCGCAGCUUCCCACCCCCCUGA
rnacentral:lncRNA from 1 species